AUUGAACGCUGGCGGCAUGCCUUACACAUGCAAGUCGAACGGCAGCACGGGAGCAAUCCUGGUGGCGAGUGGCGAACGGGUGAGUAAUAUAUCGGAACGUGCCCAGUCGUGGGGGAUAACGUAGCGAAAGCUACGCUAAUACCGCAUACGAUCUAUGGAUGAAAGCGGGGGAUCGCAAGACCUCGCGCGAUUGGAGCGGCCGAUAUCAGAUUAGGUAGUUGGUGAGGUAAAGGCUCACCAAGCCGACGAUCUGUAGCUGGUCUGAGAGGACGACCAGCCACACUGGAACUGAGACACGGUCCAGACUCCUACGGGAGGCAGCAGUGGGGAAUUUUGGACAAUGGGCGCAAGCCUGAUCCAGCAAUGCCGCGUGCAGGAUGAAGGCCUUCGGGUUGUAAACUGCUUUUGUACGGAACGAAACGGUGAGCUCUAAUACAGUUUGCUAAUGACGGUACCGUAAGAAUAAGCACCGGCUAACUACGUG
rnacentral:rRNA from 1 species